AAUACCGGAUGCUUGUUUGAACCGCAUGGUUCAAACAUAAAAGGUGGCUUCGGCUACCACUUACAGAUGGACCCGCGGCGCAUUAGCUAGUUGGUGAGGUAACGGCUCACCAAGGCAACGAUGCGUAGCCGACCUGAGAGGGUGAUCGGCCACACUGGGACUGAGACACGGCCCAGACUCCUACGGGAGGCAGCAGUAGGGAAUCUUCCGCAAUGGACGAAAGUCUGACGGAGCAACGCCGCGUGAGUGAUGAAGGUUUUCGGAUCGUAAAGCUCUGUUGUUAGGGAAGAACAAGUACCGUUCGAAUAGGGCGGUACCUUGACGGUACCUAACCAGAAAGCCACGGCUAACUACGUGCCAGCAGCCGCGGUAAUACGUAGGUGGCAAGCGUUGUCCGGAAUUAUUGGGCGUAAAGGGCUCGCAGGCGGUUCCUUAAGUCUGAUGUGAAAGCCCCCGGCUCAACCGGGGAGGGUCAUUGGAAACUGGGGAACUUGAGUGCAGAAGAGGAGAGUGGAAUUCCACGUGUAGCGGUGAAAUGCGUAGAGAUGUGGAGGAACACCAGUGGCGAAGGCGACUCUCUGGUCUGUAACUGACGCUGAGGAGCGAAAGCGUGGGGAGCGAACAGG
rnacentral:rRNA from 1 species